rnacentral:rRNA from 1 species
UACGGAGGGCGCGAGCGUUACCCGGAUUUACUGGGCGUAACGGGCGUGUAGGCGGCUUGGGGCGUCCCAUGUGAAAGGCCACGGCUCAACCGUGGAGGAGCGUGGGAUACGCUCAGGCUAGACGGUGGGAGAGGGUGGUGGAAUUCCCGGAGUAGCGGUGAAAUGCGCAGAUACCGGGAGGAACGCCGAUGGCGAAGGCAGCCACCUGGCUCACUGGUGACGCUGAGGCGCGACAGCGUGGGGAGCUAACCGG